AACUGAGUCCCCCUUAUAUUAAGGCAAUAACAUAUAUAGGCUCGACUGUGUGUUCUGCUUUAGUUUCUUCUCUCCUCUCCUCUGCACUCCGUGUCAUCGCGGUUGGGGCUCAGCCCCCCACACACGGAGCGGAGGAGAGGAGACAGCGCUGGAGAGUUGAUGACAACUACACUGGUUAUAUGUUACUAAAUACAUCACACCAUAAAGCAGUGUCCCCAUGCUUUGAGAUUUGUAUGCACCUCCUCAACACUACAUGCAUCAUGCCAUACAUACAAGACGAGCAUGCAUCCUGAAGUCCUUGUGCACCUACCUGAACGAAGACCAUGAGAAACUUGUCAAGGAAUAUAUGAACAUAGAAACUGAGGCCAACACUUCCAUGGAGAAAACUGUGAUGAGAGUGUAUGUUAUACAGAAGGUGGGUGCGGAGCCUGAAGAUGAGCCAGAGGACAUUGGUGUCCUGAUUGAGGGUGUGGAGGUCCUCAGUGGUUUGGAAUGUCCGGGGGCAAGGGGCGGCCUCUGUCUGAGAUUCAAGCCAUCACAAAGCAGCUGUUGUUGUCUCUGACUGCCCUGAAGAGCCUCAAUCUGGUACAUGCUGACAUCAAGC